rnacentral:rRNA from 1 species
UACGUAGGGUGCGAGCGUUGUCCGGAAUUAUUGGGCGUAAAGAGCUUGUAGGCGGUCUGUCGCGUCUGCUGUGAAAAUCCGGGGCUCAACCCCGGACUUGCAGUGGGUACGGGCAGACUAGAGUGUGGUAGGGGAGACUGGAAUUCCUGGUGUAGCGGUGAAAUGCGCAGAUAUCGGGAGGAACACCAGUAGCGAAGGCGGCUCGCUGGGCCACACCUGACGCUGGAGACGCGAAAAGCUAGGGGGAGCGAACAGG